rnacentral:rRNA from 1 species
GGUGUGUAAGCGCAGCGAUGCGUUGAGUUAACCGGUACUAAUGAACCGUGAGGCUUAACCUUACAACGCCGAAGGUGUUU